GCUGAACACUACAAAUUCCACGGAAACUCGGUCUGAAGCUCCAAAUGCAACGACUCUUCAACUACGCCACUCUUCCAACCUGCUUCGCCUCCCCUAAUCUCGUUUUUAAAUCGAAACAAACCGAAGCUAUGAACCACUUCGCAUCCGGAAUUAUCAUCUUCCUAAUCGACACCGCCCCCUCUACCGAACCAGAAGUGCAGGAAUCUCCACCGUGGUAACAAGCACGCAUCCAAGAAUUUCUCUCAAGAAUGGAACAAAGACGAACAAGGCGAAGAAUCGUGGAUCCGAAAUCAUAUCCAGAAAUCGCAUUACUCGUUCAACCUUCCAACUCUAACCAACUUUAUGCGUUCAAAAAAGAAAUGAAGCAAGCGACACCAUGAAUCGAGGAUUGAAGCGAUAAGGUAGAAGGAAACUCACUGGAUUCGGAUCGUGACACAGUGGCAAAACAUGUAUCAAACUCCUUCUUGGUAUACUUCUUCUUCCUCCCCGUUCCCUCCGCGUUCUUCGAUUCCUUCACUCUUGCGCGUGUAUACGGUUAUGGCUGAAAGAACUCUGAAACUCGGUAUUUCUCCUCCUCUCUGAUGCAGCGUGAGUGUGCUAAACCUUGAUCCCCGAAUGAGGAGAUGCUAUGCUCGAUAUUUAUAGAUGGAAAGUCAUUAUCAUUCUGUUGCAAAAUGUAAAUGUAAUUCACUUGAAAGCAAUCUGAGUUAGUUGGAAAUGAGUAAUUUUGUUAGAGUUAGUUAUCGAUUCGAAUUCAGUUAAUGGGAUAGUUUUAUUUUGGUGUACUUGCUCUGUUAGUUUAUUAUGGAACCCUUCGGUUUGUGGUCUAAUUAAAGAAUUUGCAGGUGGAAAUUGUUAGUAUCUUUUACUUGAUGUGUGCAAGGCUAUGUGUUUCGAAUUUUUUUACUUGGGAGUUCUGUUUGAAAAAGAGUGCGGGUAGAAAUUAUGCAUUAUGCAGGAGCUUCAUUUGGUAGUUGUUAAAAAAUACAGAAUUCUGCAGGUUGAAUGUUUUGGGAACUCUUCUAUUAUCCCUCACUUGGUAUGUUUGACACAUUGAGUUGUUGUUGGAACUAAAGGCCUGUGUGGAAAGCUUGAGUAGGAAUGGAUUAAUGCUUAGGAAUUGCAAUGGAAUUGUAUAUUUGAAUGUGUAUAGAUUUGUAUUCAAUGUUAUUUGGAAAGUUUGAAUGUUUGGGUUUAUGUUAAUUUGUGAAUGGGAUAAUGUUUUUGUAUUGAAUGAAAGUUAUUGAGGAUGUAUUAAUAGAAUGUUUAUUUAUGGAAAUAGUUUAUGAUUUAUGUGAGCAUAGUCAAAAAAAAAAAGUUUAAAGUCACUUGAUUAAAAAAAAAGAGGAAAAUAGUUAUGGUUUAAGUGGAUGGGAAGGAAUAGGUAAUGGGACUUAGGACUAGGUUAUUGUUUUUGAUUGACUUGGUUGUAAAGUGUAAGGCAUGUACAUGAGUUUUAAAAAUGAAUGAAGGUUGUAUUUUUUUGAAUGCA